ACGGGAGGCAGCAGUGGGGAAUAUUGCACAAUGGGCGAAAGCCUGAUGCAGCGACGCCGCGUGAGUGAAGAAGUAUUUCGGUAUGUAAAGCUCUAUCAGCAGGGAAGAAAAUGACGGUACCUGACUAAGAAGCCCCGGCUAACUACGUGCCAGCAGCCGCGGUAAUACGUAGGGGGCAAGCGUUAUCCGGAUUUACUGGGUGUAAAGGGAGCGUAGACGGCGAAGCAAGUCUGAAGUGAAAACCCAGGGCUCAACCCUGGGACUGCUUUGGAAACUGUUUUGCUAGAGUGUCGGAGAGGUAAGUGGAAUUCCUAGUGUAGCGGUGAAAUGCGUAGAUAUUAGGAGGAACACCAGUGGCGAAGGCGGCUUACUGGACGAUAACUGACGUUGAGGCUCGAAAGCGUGGGGAGCAAACAGGAUUAGAUACCCUGGUA
rnacentral:rRNA from 1 species